GAAGCAGCCAUCAUUUAAAGAAAGCGUAAUAGCUCACUGGUCGAGUCGGCCUGCGCGGAAGAUGUAACGGGGCUAAACCAUGCACCGAAGCUGCGGCAGCGACACUAUGUGUUGUUGGGUAGGGGAGCGUUCUGUAAGCCUGCGAAGGUGAUCUGUGAGGGUUGCUGGAGGUAUCAGAAGUGCGAAUGCUGACAUAAGUAACGAUAAAGCGGGUGAAAAGCCCGCUCGCCGGAAGACCAAGGGUUCCUGUCCAACGUUAAUCGGGGCAGGGUGAGUCGACCCCUAAGGCGAGGCCGAAAGGCGUAGUCGAUGGGAAACAGGUUAAUAUUCCUGUACUUGGUGUUACUGCGAAGGGGGGACGGAGAAGGCUAUGUUAGCCGGGCGACGGUUGUCCCGGUUUAAG
rnacentral:rRNA from 1 species